rnacentral:lncRNA from 1 species
GUGAUCUUUUGUGUCUGGUUUAUUUCACGGAGCGUAAGUGUAAUACUUCGAAAGUUUAUCCACGUUGUAGCAGGUGUCAGUAUUUUCUUUUUACUGUUGAAAACUAUUCCAUUGUAUGGAGAGACCAUAUUUUGUUUAUGUACUCAUCUGUUGGUGGGCAUUUGAGUCAUUUUUACCUUUUGGCUGUUGUAAAUCGUGCUGCCACAAACAUUCAUGUACAAGUAUCUGUUUGAGUCCAUUUUCAUUUCUGCUGCGUAUGUGUACCCGACCCAGGAGUUGCUGGGUCUUUGGUUAUUGUUCCAUUUAACUUUCUGAGGAGCUGCCAGACUGUUUCCACAGCAGCUGUACCAUUUACAUUCCCAUCUGUAAUGGACAGAGGCUCCAGUCUGUCCACAUCCUUGCCAAUGCUGGUUGUUUAUUAAAAAUCACAGCCAUCCUGUGUGAAGUAGUAUCUCAUUGUGGUUUUCACAUGCAUUUUAUAGUGACUAAGGAUGUUGAGUCCCCUUUCUUGUACUUUUUGGCUACUUCUAUGUUGUCUUUGGAGAAAUGGCUGAUGAGCCCUUUUGAAUUGGGGUUGGUCUUUUUUGCUGCUCAGCUGUAAGAGUUCCCUGCAUAUCUUGGUUACUAGUCUCUUACCAGUUAUAUAACCUACAUUUUCUCCCACUCUGUGGACUUUUUACUUUACUGAUAAUGGCCUUAGACGCACAAGACUUUUAAGUUUUGUUGUGUCCAAUUUAUUUUUUUUUAAUUUAUUUAUUUAUGAUAGUCAGAGAGAGAGAGAGAGAGAGAGAGAGAGAGAGGCAGAGACACAGGCAGAGGGAGAAGCAGGCUCCAUGCAGGGAGCCCGACGUGGGACUCGAUCCCGGGUCUCCAGGAUCACACCCCGGGCUGCAGGUGGCACCAAAUCGCUGCGCCACCAGGGCUGCCCAUGUUGUGUCCAAUUUAUCUGGUUUUCCUUUUGUUGCUCCUGCUGCUGGUGUCCUAAGAAUCCAUUUGUUAGAUCCAUGUUUCUGGGACUUUUAAUAGUUUCAGCUCUUUCAUCCAUUUUGAAUUAAUUUUUGAAUAUGGUGUGAGGCAAGGGGCCAUCUCCAUUCUUUAGUGCUUAGAUCCUGCUUUCCCAUCACCAUUUUGCCACUGAAUGGUCUUGGCAUCCUUGUCAAUCUUUUGACCUUAUCUGUGAGGGUUUAUUAGGUUUCCAUUCU